rnacentral:tRNA from 1 species
GGGGACAUGGUGAAAUCGGCAGACACAGCAGACUUAAAAUCUGCUGCCCGCAAGGUCGUGCGGGUUCAAGUCCCGCUGUCCCCA